CUUUAGCUACUGCUGAUUGACAUUGGACUUUGUUGACUAAUUUGAUGCCUACAGAUAUUCCCAAAUCUUUCUAACAUAUUGUUUUCCCAAACCUACUACCACUCAGCGUAUAUGUUUCUUGUGCUUUUCUUCUCCCCCAAAAGUGCAUAACUUUGCAUUUAUCAACAUUAAAUUUCAUCUGCCAUUUGAGUUCCCUCUCCCUUAAUCUAAAUCUCUCUGCAGCAAAGUAAUAUCCUGCUUACAUUGUAUUACAUUAUUCGUUUUGAACCAUCUGCCAAUACUGACACAUGUCCAGGGGUGUGGAAAUUUUAAUAAACCAACUUGUCCAUGGGACUAAAGUGGUAACCCAAUCCAUUUGUCCAUCAUCAUACGUUACGGCAGGAAGGGCUAAGAAAAGAAAGGAGAGAAGGAGUGCAGACAUGAGCUUCCCCUUGCAGGGGAUGUAAGAUAUGAACAUAAUUGACAUUAGGCAGCCCAGAACAGAGAUCCAGGCUGCUUACUCGAUCAGCCACAACAUUAAACCCACUGACAGUUGAAGUAAAUAACAUUGAUUAUAUUGUUACAUUGGCACCUGUCAAGGGGUGGGAUAUAUAAGACAAGUGAACAGUCAAUUCUGGAAUUUCAAGUAUAUGAAGCAGAAAAAAUGGUCAAGUGAUUUUAGUGAAACUACACUUUCAUUACUAUUUUUUAGAAUGUAGGCAUUUAUUCGCUUGUUAUAUGAGCCUAUAUAUAUGCCUCUGAGUUAUCUGAUUUAAAGGCUUUUCUGUUUAUCUUUCUUGGGUUACCAUCC